rnacentral:tRNA from 1 species
CAGGGAGACAACAAAAUGUUUAAUAUUAUAAUUUUGUCACCUUAGGCCGAUCGGUAUCUCACAUUCUUAAUUUAUUAAGGAUUUCAUUUCCUAAGUUUUUCUAGGUCACACCCAUUUUUUCCUGGGCCAUUAGCUCAGGUGGUUAGAGCGCACCCCUGAUAAGGGUGAGGUCCCUGGUUCAAGUCCAGGAUGGCCCAUAUCUCUGUGUUGGGGGUAUAGCUCAGUUGGUAGAGCGCCUGCUUUGCAAGCAGGAUGUCAGCGGUUCGAGUCCGCUUACCUCCACUGAUUACCACCUCUUCCAUAAGUUGGAGAAAGGAAAUUUUUGGAAUUGUGAUCAAAAUCUGAACGAAUCUAGCUUCCUAAUGAGAUCACCUUAUUAAGAUGCUGGACUCAUUGAGUUAAUUUCAUUGUUUUCAGAGAACCUUGACAACUGCAUAGAUUAUUUAAAGACAAUAAGCAUCUUUAAUGAUGCAGAUUUAUUAUUUGUGCGAAUGCAUUAAUAACAAUUCUAUUAAGCUGAUGCUUCUAAAUUUUAGAAGUUAUU